rnacentral:rRNA from 1 species
GAGUUUGAUCCUGGCUCAGAACGAACGCUGGCGGCAGGCCUAACACAUGCAAGUCGAACGAAUCCUUCGGGAUGAGUGGCGCACGGGUGCGUAACGCGUGGGAAUAUGCCCUUCACUACGGAACAACGUUUGGAAACGAACGCUAAUACCGUAUAAUGUCUUCGGACCAAAGAUUUAUCGGUGAAGGAUUAGCCCGCGUCUGAUUAGCUAGUUGGUGAGGUAACGGCUCACCAAGGCGACGAUCAGUAGGGGGUCUGAGAGGAUGAUCCCCCACACUGGGACUGAGACACGGCCCAGACUCCUACGGGAGGCAGCAGUGAGGAAUAUUGGACAAUGGGCGCAAGCCUGAUCCAGCCAUGCCGCGUGAGUGAUGAAGGCCUUCGGGUUGUAAAGCUCUUUCAGAUGUGAAGAUAAUGACGGUAGCAUCAGAAGAAGCCCCGGCUAAAUUCGUGCCAGCAGCCGCGGUAAUACGAAUGGGGCAAGCGUUGUUCGGAAUCACUGGGCUUAAAGCGUACGCAGGCGGUCUAGCAAGUCAGAAGUGAAAUCCCAGGGCUUAACCCUGGAAUUGCUUUUGAAACUGCAAGACUAGAAUCCGAGAGAGGUUGGCGGAAUUCCGAGUGUAGAGGUGAAAUUCGCAGAUAUUCGGAGGAACACCAGUGGCGAAGGCGGCCAACUGGAUCGGUAUUGACGCUCAUGUACGAAAGCGUGGGGAUCAAACAGGAUUAGAUACCCUGGUAGUCCACGCUGUAAACGAUGUGUGCUAGUUGUCGGAGGCGUCAGCCCCCGGUGACGCAGGGAAACCUUUAAGCACACCGCCUGGGGAGUACGGUCGCAAGAUUAAAACUCAAAGGAAUUGACGGGGACCCGCACAAGCGGUGGAGCAUGUUGUUUAAUUCGAAGCAACGCGAAGAACCUUACCUACUCUUGACAUACCUCUUGGGGCUUCCAGAGAUGGAGGCUUUUCGGUUCGGCCGGGGAGGAUACAGGUGCUGCAUGGCUGUCGUCAGCUCGUGUCGUGAGAUGUUGGGUUAAGUCCCGCAACGAGCGCAACCCUUAUCAUUUGUUGCCAUCAUUCAGUUGGGCACUCUAAUGAGACUGCCGGUGAUAAGCCGGAGGAAGGCGUUGACGACGUCAAGUCAUCAUGGCCCUUACGAGUAGGGCUACAAACGUGCUAAAUGGCAGUGACAAUGGGCAGCCAAACCGCGAGGUUGAGCUAAUCCCUAAAAACUGUCUCAGUUCGGAUUGUUCUCUGCAACUCGAGAGCAUGAAGUUGGAAUCGCUAGUAAUCGUGCAUCAGCAUGUCACGGUGAAUACGUUCCCGGGUCUUGUACACACCGCCCGUCAAGUCAUGGGAGUUGGCUUUACCUGAAGACCGUGUGCUAACUUUGGAGGCAGCGGGCCACGGUAAGGUCAGUAACUGGGACUAAGUCGUAACAAGGUA